rnacentral:snRNA from 1 species
GUGCUCGUUUCCACAGCACAUACAAUAAAACUGGAAAGGUACAGAGAAGAUUAGCAUGGCCCCUGCUCAAGGAUGACACGCAAAUUUGUGAAGUGUUCCAUAUUAAA